CUCAGAAUGCUACACACUCCACCCUGACUUAGCAUCAUGUUCAGAGUUCUAAUCUCUUUAGUUACACUGUCUUUGUGCGUUUCAGAUCAGUCUAAAUAUGCUGUCACCCAAACUCCCAAAGACAUCAUCACAGCCCCGGUUAAGGACAUACAGAUAGACUGCAGACAUUCAAACUCAGACUUCGACAUGAUCCAGUGGUACAAACAAACUAUUGGACUCACAGACCUGACCCUCAUUGCUUAUGCCAGAUUCACCAGUUUAGAUGUAGAAAACACAUUUAAAACCUUGUAUGAAGUUAGCGGGAGUGGGUCCAGCCGAUCCUCUCUGCAUGUUUUAAAUGUAAAUACAACUACAGACAGUGCUGUGUAUUUCUGCACUGCCAGUAGCCACAGUGAGAGGAAAAACUCCACAACUUUAACAAAAACCUUGUGUUCACUAUAGCAACCACAUAAAUACUGAUCACACACCUGCAAUAGACUAUUUGAUAAGCUGAUGUAAUACCAU